rnacentral:rRNA from 1 species
UCGAAUCCUGCAAUAGCAGAAUGACCCGCUAACACGUUAACAAUUUGGACGAGGGUCGGGGGGCCUCGGUCUCCCGUCUGCGAAUCCCUGGUAGGUGGCCACUCCCGGGUGGCCAUUGGCCUGCAAAAUCAUUCGGGCGCGGAAUGCGCCAAGGACCUUAAAACUGAUUGUACGUCCGUACCCCGUUUGCGGGCAUCGGCGUCAUUCCAAAACAC